rnacentral:rRNA from 1 species
AAAACGACUCUUGGCAACGGAUAUCUUGGCUCUUGCAUCGAUGAAGAACGUAGCGAAAUGCGAUACUUGGUGUGAAUUGCAGAAUCCCGUGAACCAUCGAGUCUUUGAACGCAAGUUGCGCCCGAAGCCAUUAGGCCGAGGGCACGUCUGCCUGGGCGUCACGC